rnacentral:SRP_RNA from 1 species
GCCAGGUGUGGUAGUGCACACCUGUAAUCCCGGCUACUCAGGAGGCUGAGACAGGAGGAUUGCUUGAGCUCAGGAGGUCGAGGCUGCAGUGAGCCAUGAUCCUGCCACUGUACUCCAGCCUGGGCAACAGUGCAAGACCCUGUCUCGU